rnacentral:rRNA from 1 species
AUUGAACGCUGGCGGCAGGCCUAACACAUGCAAGUCGAGCGGAUGAAGGGAGCUUGCUCCUGGAUUCAGCGGCGGACGGGUGAGUAAUGCCUAGGAAUCUGCCUGGUAGUGGGGGAUAACGUCCGGAAACGGGCGCUAAUACCGCAUACGUCCUGAGGGAGAAAGUGGGGGAUCUUCGGACCUCACGCUCUCAGAUGAGCCUAGGUCGGAUUAGCUAGUUGGUGGGGUAAAGGCCUACCUAGGCGACGAUCCGUAACUGGUCUGAGAGGAUGAUCAGUCACACUGGAACUGAGACACGGUCCAGACUCCUACGGGAGGCAGCAGUGGGGAAUAUUGGGCAAUGGGCGAAAGCCUGAUCCAGCCAUGCCGCGUGUGUGAAGAAGGUCUUCGGAUUGUAAAGCACUUUAAGUUGGGAGGAAGGGCAGUAAGUUAAUACCUUGCUGUUUUGACGUUACCAACAGAAUAAGCACCGGCUAACUUCGUG